rfam:Mus musculus chromosome 17 genomic contig, GRC reference assembly alternate locus group NOD/ShiLtJ.
GGAGAGAUGGCUCAGUGGUUAAGAGCACUGGCUGCUCUUCCAGAGGACCUGGGUUCAAUUCCCAGCAACUACA